CGUAGGUGCAAGCGUUGUCCGGAAUUAUUGGGCGUAAAGAGCUCGUAGGUGGUUCGUCGCGUCUGCUGUGAAAGUCCGAGGCUUAACCUCGGAUCUGCAGUGGGUACGGGCGGACUAGAGUGCGGUAGAGGAGAUCGGAAUUCCUGGUGUAGCGGUGGAAUGCGCAGAUAUCAGGAGGAACACCGGUGGCGAAGGCGGAUCUCUGGGCCGCAACUGACGCUGAGGAGCGAAAGCAUGGGAGCGAACAGGCUU
rnacentral:rRNA from 1 species